UUGGUUUUUAAAUUCUGUAACAGCUAACCUUAUUUCCCCAAAUUUUGUUCCUUCCAACAUUAUCAAACAGAAACCCCGCAAUUUUCAAAUUAAGCCGUCUCCGGUGCUUCAGCCCAUUCUUCCCGUAUCUUUCUCCGGCGAGUCUCCGAGCAAUCAGUUCCUCCGGCUGAAAUCUAGCGUAUAAUUUCUGGCCAUGGAAUGCAUGGAUUUGGUGGAAGAUCAGAGGUACUUGGGCCUUUUAGCCUGUAGUCAGUGCAGGGUUGUUGAUAGAGCAUUCUUCUGGUAUAUCUUCAUGUCUGUGCCAUGUUCUUGCAGCAUGCUUGUGACAUGGUGCAAGACAUGUGUCAACAAGAACCAGCACCUAUUUAUUUUGGGUAGUACCUAACACUUGGAAUCAGAAGAAUAGAGAAGUUGCUGUAGAGGCGCUGCUCAAAAUCUCAUGGUUGACUCUAAGAUUGCGGCGAAUCUUUAUUCUGCUUUUUCAUUUUUAUGGAUGUGAGGAUCCUGCAGAUGUGAUGCUUCAAGCACUGACACAACAUAUUUGGAAGAAAAGUUUCAUCCCAUAGUUUGAGUUAGGUGGAGAAACGGUUCACAUGUUAUUGCUAUAGAGCUGUUUGCAGAAGAAGAAUCUGCAGGGAUUGCCAUGAAUAACUUUGCCGUCUAUAGAUGAGUACUUUUUGCCUUUGGUUCUUUCUAGUGCUGGGUUAUUGGGAAUUAUUUCCGAAACUCCUGUAAUUUGGAAGCCAUUUGUAGGACUUAUUUGAAACUGCUACACUCUAUUCCAGCCUUCCUGUUGCAACGUAGCCGUUUAGGAGGUCGUUGCAGCAGUUAAUGCAUUUUUUUUGUCUGUUAUAGGAAUCAGGAAAUGAAGUAACUGAUCUUUGUGUUGUGUAGUUUCUGAAAAUAGCAUUAAAGAGAAUUUAUCUAGUUCCUUAUCUGUUAUAUUCUAUUUUUACUUUAGGAAUUGUAACUUAGGCUCUUUAUCAUCUCACGGAAGCUUCUGCAUUUCAGAGAAAAUUGUGUUAAUAUCUUUCCUUUUAUAUGCCAAUGUGAUAUUUGUGUUUUAAGUGAUCUGGGGCUUUGCAACUAUGAUAUUUUUUC